rnacentral:snoRNA from 1 species
CUUCCCAUUUAUUUGCUGCUGUAGUCUUUCAGUGAUAUGAGCAGUUAUACGCAUGGGAUAAAAAAACAUUGGGCCACAGUAAAUUGAGGUGAAAUAACUGUUUCAUCUCUUCUGUGUGGUCUAAACAUUG